GGUAAGUUGGCUCAGUAGUAGAGUGCUUGCUUUGCAUGCAUGAGAUCCUGGGUUCAAUUCCUCAGCACCA
rnacentral:tRNA from 1 species